rnacentral:rRNA from 1 species
ACUUUCAACAAUGGAU